UUGAUUAUUUGAUCAUUCAUCUUAAGCGCUACAAAUUUGACGCCUGACGCCUUCCAGUACUCCAAGCUCCGUCGCCGCAUCCUCAUACCCAGGUACUUGUCCGUCCACUACCACUGCACCAAGGAAACCCAGAGUCCAACCUUUCUCCCAAAGUCAUUAGUCAACGGGACGUCAUCUCCAAGGCCACAACAACUCAAUGCCGAGAGAACUCAAAGGUUGUCCCUCACAGCCCCGUCGACGAGGGAAUCUAAUUGGUCUGCAAGGAGCGAGUCGUUUAAGCCCUCGCGCUUCAGUUUUGCGCCCUCAAGGAAGAGGCUGAACUAUGACGACAACAGUAAACAACCAAGGCAAACCAUUCUCCUGGAAAGUAACACAGACUCAGACGAUGACGAGACC